GGCACGAUGGCUGAGUGGUUAAAGCGAUGGACUUGAAAUCCAUUGGGAUAUUCCCGCGCAGGUUCGAGUCCUGCUCGUGUCG
rnacentral:tRNA from 1 species